rnacentral:rRNA from 1 species
GGUUCAUUCAAAUUUCUGCCCUAUCAACUUUCGAUGGUAAGGUAUUGGCUUACCAUGGUUUCAACGGGUAACGGAUUUUUAGGGAAAGAUCCCGGAGAGGGAGCCUGAGAAACGGCUACCACAUCCAAGGAAGGCAGCAGGCGCGCAAAUUACCCAAUCCCGACACGGGGAGGUAGUGACAAUAAAUACUGAUACAGGGCUCUUUUGGGUCUUGUAAUCGGAAUGAGUACAAUUUAAAUACCUUAACGAGGAACAAUUGGAGGGCAAGUCUGGUGCCAGCAGCCGCGGUAAUUCCAGCUCCAAUAGCGUAUAUUAAAGUUGUUGCAGUUAAAAAGCUCGUAGUUGAACCUUGGGCCUGGCUGGCCGGUCCGCCUCACCGCGUGUACUGGUCCGGCCGGGCCUUUCCUUCUGGAGAACCCCAUGCCCUUCACUGGGCGUGGCGGGGAACCAGGACUUUUACUUUGAGAAAAUUAGAGUGUUCAAAGCAGGCCUUUGCUCGAAUACGUUAGCAUGGAAUAAUAGAAUAGGACGUGUGGUUCUAUUUUGUUGGUUUCUAGAACCGCCGUAAUGAUUAAUAGGGAUAGUCGGGGGCGUCAGUAUUCAAUUGUCAGAGGUGAAAUUCUUGGAUCUAUUGAAGACUAACUACUGCGAAAGCAUUCGCCAAGGAUGUUUUCAUUAAUCAGUGAACGAAAGUUAGGGGAUCGAAGACGAUCAGAUACCGUCGUAGUCUUAACCGUAAACUAUGCCGACUAGGGAUCGGGCGAUGUUUCUAUCUUGACUC